rnacentral:pre_miRNA from 1 species
AAUGUUUGACGCUGUUGACUUUUUAGCACAUGUUUGACCGUUCGUCUUAUUCAAAAAAUUUAAGUAAUUAUUAAUUCUUUUCCUAUCAUUUGAUUCAUUAUUAAAUAUAUUUUUAUGUGGCAUAUAAUUUCCCAUAUUUUAUAAAAGUUUUUGAAUAAGACGAACGGUCAAGCAUGUGUUAAAAAGUCAAUGGUGUCAAACAUU